ensembl:lncRNA
CCAAAGACACUAAGAUUUUUGUUUGGUUUUUUUUUAUAUAUAAACAGUAUUUUCUCAAUCUUACUCAAAAUGCUGGAGAAAUCUAAACUGUCUCUAGGAAAGUUUGCCUUUGCUGUUUAUUUUGUAACAUACAAUUUGUGCAAUUAUAAGACUGACCUCCUAAGUACUAUUUGCAGGAAAGAAAAAUAAAUAUUUGCAAGCUGGGAAAGGAGAACAACGAGGGAUGGAUACCAGGGUUCGCCUCUCCGUGGGGCUCCCAGAAGGGCUGCCAGAGGAGGACCUGAAAUGAGAAUUUCCAAACAAGGCAGGGAAAGGAGAGGCCUGUGCUCAGGCCCUGCUGGGUGGAACAGAAGCCUCAGGAAAAUGCAGGCUGCCCCACAGCGCAGUCAAUAGAAAGAAGGCCAGUAGAAAGAAGGCCGAAGAGGCUAGCCUCAGCUAUUCCACUGCAGGCUACGGAGUUUGAGGGUUCUCCAAGCGUCCCGCUUUGCCGUGUUAAACCUGUGACUUUGCGAACUGAACUGCACAAUUUCAGAAUGUCUCGACAGCCCUCCCGGAAUCCAUGGAGGAUGUGGGAAGUAAGGAACAGGCCGGCAGCUCGGUGAGAUUGCAGUUCACACAGUGGACCAGCAAAGUGGGAAGGGGUCUUGUGACACCUGGCAGCAAGAUCAAGAGGCGAGGGGCUGACCCGGGAGCGUCUUAGGGUCUAUAGGGCCAGGCCACUGUCGCACAUGGGGUAUGAGUAGGAGGAGGAGGAGGAGAUCUAGUCUAGGCUGGGUGUGGUGAUGCGUGCCUCAUAUCCUAGCACUUGGGAGGCUGAGGCAGGAGGAUCACUGCAAGUUCAAGGCCAGCCUGGGCUACACAGUGACUUUAAGACCAGCCUGAACUACAUAGUGAGACCCUGCCUCAAAAAAACAAAAACAAAAACAAAAUUGAUUGUUGAUUGUUGAACAUUCGCUGAGGCUUUGCGGAAGAAAUAACAGGGCAGGGCAAGGAAAGGAUGCCGAUCAAGAUUUGGAUCAGGUUGUUCUGCUGGCCCUGUCGGGUCAAGCUGCCCAGGGGACUGCGGAUUUGGAUCUUAAGGCAUUGUCUCUAAUGCUGGCCCACAGCCCGAACGGGUUGUCUGGGGCGAGCUUCUCUUAGCAUUGUUUGACUCCCAGCAUCCUCGGCUGCAUCCCGAGGAAAAGCCAGACUCCAUCCUCACCUGGCCCUCCUUGGUUCCCCGGGGACCGGGACCACCCAGAGCCGGAUCUGACUCUCUCUACCGCAGCUGCGCGUGGCACGGGACUCCCGCCC